rnacentral:rRNA from 1 species
GAGUUUGAUCUUGGCUCAGGAUGAACGCUGGCGGCGUGCUUAACACAUGCAAGUCGAACGGUUCUAGCAAUAGAACAGUGGCGCACGGGUGAGUAACACGUAGCUAACCUGCCCUUCAGCGCGGGAUAACGUUCCGAAAGGAAUGCUAAUACCGCAUAAGCUCACGUUUUGUAAAGGGAUGUGAGAAAAGGCUUCGGUCACUGAAGGAGGGGGCUGCGACCCAUCAGCUCGUUGGUGAGGUAAUGGCUUACCAAGGCGACGACGGGUAGGGGGCCUGAGAGGGUGGCCCCCCACACUGGGACUGAGACACGGCCCAGACUCCUACGGGAGGCAGCAGUGAGGAAUAUUGCACAAUGGGGGAAACCCUGAUGCAGCGACGCCGCGUGGGUGAUGAAGGUUUUCGGAUCGUAAAGCCCUUUUCUGCAUGACGAGAACGGACGGUAGUGCAGGAAUAAGUGUCGGCUAACUACGUGCCAGCAGCCGCUGUAAU